UUUUUAAGACUAAGUGCAUUUCCACGAAAUAAGAACUUUUUUUCCAAAGGACAAACCCUCAUUGCUUUACAUUUUGCUGCUUUAUCGACGAUACAUGUUUACACAGAACUAAAACUCCUUUACAAAAUGCAGCAGGGAGUUUUGGACAUGACAAAUUUGGAUCGUGUGAACAGGCCUUGAGACUACGUCAAAAAGCCAACAUUGACAGCCAACUAUGAGUACUAGGAAACAGCAGGUUUGCCUGGUGACCACGGCCUUGAACGAACCGUAAGGUUACAGUCGACGGAAUAAAAGCAAAAAUCAAAAUGGUGGAGGAACAGAGUAAAUAUGCAAAAUUAACGUGGACAGACAUAAAGAACGUUGCGCAGACAAAUCACCGCGUGUUGUUUUUAAUGGAGAAGGGGAACCGAACCUCAUGCGGGCGUAGCGUCAAAUAAAGUUCAACUGCUGAUAAACAUCGGCGAUUCCUGGCAAUACGAUAUGACGAUUAUGUCACGCUCAUGUCGUAAAUAAGGAGUUUUAGACGUAUUUGAAGCGAGCGGCGCGGAGAAUUCAUAUCCAAAUAAAUCAGAUCGGCUCUCUUUUUCUUAUAUUCAAAUUUGAGAACGCCCAAAAGCUAUUCAGUUGGUGCAAUUAUAUACUUUGGGAAUGAGACAAAUAAUAGGGUAGCAUUUUGUAAUAGUAGUAAUUUAGAUUUAAAAUUAAACUGCAAUAAUUUAUUUUGACUAACUCAAAUCAUGUAAAUAUUUCUUCGUGCGUGAAAACUAAUCAAUAACAUAAAAAAAAGCUUGUUCUUAUGUAA